rnacentral:rRNA from 1 species
CAAUAGCGUAUAAUAAAGUUGUUGCAGUUAAAAAGCUCGUAGUUGGACCUUGGACCUGGACAGGCGGUCCGCCUCACGGCGUGUACUGUCUUGCUGGGUCUUUCCUCUUGGUGAUCUGUUGUUUCGGCAGCAGGGAACCAGGACUUUUACUUUGAAAAAAUUAGAGUGUUCAAAGCAGGCUCGACGCCGGAAUAUAUUAGCAUGGAAUAAUAAAAUAGGACGUGCGGUUCUAUUUUGUUGGUUUUUGGAAUCGCCGUAAUGAUUAAUAGGGACAGUCGGGGGCAUUAGUACUCACAUGCUAGAGGUGAAAUUCUUGGAUUUUGUGAAGACUAACUUCUGCGAAAGCACUUGCCAAGGAUGUUUUCAUUAA